rnacentral:rRNA from 1 species
GCAAGUCGAACGGUAAGGCUCUCUUCGGAGAGUACACGAGUGGCGCACGGGUGAGUAACACGUGAGUAACCUGCCUUUAACUUUGGAUAACAGUUGGAAACGACUGCUAAUACCGAAUAAUAUAUAGAGUUGAUAGGACUCUGUAUCAAAGGAGCAAUCCGGUUUUAGAUGGACUCGCGCAUCAUUAGAUAGUUGGUGAGGUAAUGGCUCACCAAGUCGAAGAUGAUUAGCUGGUUUGAGAGGAUGAUC